rnacentral:misc_RNA from 1 species
ACUGCAGCCCGACUUGAACGAAGCUCUUUUUAAUUGGUGGCUGAGCUUGUCGAAGCCAGCAUUUAAAAAAGCGGAAGUGGAAGGCGGAAAUGUCU